AUGCGGUGGUUGGCAAAAGGUGAUGCCCGACGCAACGUGCAAUGCCCUGUGUCACUAGGCCCUGCACUGGCUCCCCGUCCCAUCCCCGCUUGGCUUCAUGGUAGAUGCUGCAGAUGCCUCUAUCCUGGACACCGUGCAGCAGAGUGUCGAGAUCCUUUUAGGUGUUCUCGAUGCCUUGAGAAUGGUCAUCGAGCGCGUGGGUGCCGCAAUGCCCGGCGUCCCCUCAGCUUUUUGGGAAGCCCUACUUUGUCGCCAUUGCCCCGCCUCCCUAUCGGACACCAACAAGCUUCAGUUCCUUGCAAGGUCUGGAAAGAAGCCGCGCCCCUCUCGAAGACGUUUGGUCGUGAUUCUUGGGCAUCGAUCGUUGCUGCUCCUGCUAGCUCUGUGGCCUCUGAGGAUAUCCCACUGCGUCCUGCCUUGGAGAGGCAAGCCGAGUUGUUGCGCUUUGAGCUCCUUGAUAUGGCUUCCUUCCGGUUUGAGGAGAUGGUCCAGCCUCUGCGUGAUGUCGUUGACUCCAUGCAAGGUUGGAUGUUGCGGAUGGAGAGUUUCAUGGAGCGAGUUGAGGCUGCACUAGGAGGGCUCUCCCUGGCGCCGCCUGUGUUGCAGAGUGCUCAUGUGUUGUGCCCUUUGAUUGUGCCUGAUGGCAGCUUCGAGGUCGAGAGGGGAGACGAGCUUCAUGGCUGUUUCUCCCCUCGUGCUAGAGCCAGCUCGCCGCCGUCGGCCUAUGAGGGUCUAGGCAAUGAUGUGGUUGUGACUCCGUUGCUGCAGAUCAUGCCUGAGCUUCGGGAGCUGUGUGGAGGCUCGGUUCUGCCCCUGUCCGUCGAACAACCGAAGGUAGACCCUCCUAAGAUCUCAAUUGUGGCUUUAUCGCCAUCGUCACCCCUGGAUUCUAGCCAGAUACUUGAUGCUGAGGAGUGUGGUGAUUUGGAUGUUUCAAUCUCUCCAUCUCCUAAGUCCAUUGGGUGUCAGGCGUCAACCAGUCUAUCUCUUGGUGUCAUGGAGCAUGGAGUUCUAGAUGUUGCUGAUGUUCCCUCGUUUGUGACCAUGGAGCAGGUGAUGCCUGUGAGUGACAUGACCAUUGAGCCAAGUGUGUUGGCACCUACUCCAAAUCCAGAUGCUCUCUUCGCGAAGGAACUUUGUGACUUGCUCGCCAGUGUGGAGGUUGCUAGACCUGGUUUGGGCAGGUCGAUUGCUUGCCUCUUGACAGGGACACCAAUAAGGGGCAAACAAAAGAAGGUGGGCAAAGGAAAGAGUGGCGCCAUGGGUAAGGCGUCUCUCACUGCUUGA
rnacentral:rRNA from 1 species